rnacentral:lncRNA from 1 species
UAAGCUGGUAAUGCAUGUGUUCCUUAAUGUAGCAAUAAAUAAUAAUGCAAUUAAACACAUAACACACAAUAUCAACAGAACAGGAUCCCACACACGCACUCAAUGAACCCAGCUGCAGAUGCAACCCCAGCUGCAGAUGCAAGGCUCCGAGGUGCAGAAGAGCCCGCUUUGGACAAAGCCUAAUCCCCUCAGUCAUUAUUUCAACUAAAUCAAUGACCCAGAACUAUGAACUUAUCUGUUUUUGCUGUCUAUUGUCUUUAUUGUUAUGAUUGUUACUGUUAUUGUGCUGUUUCGUCUGUCUGUGUCAAACAAGUGCAGUGUUUGUGGACAAGAAUUUCUCCUUGGGGACAAUAAAGUAAAGUAAAGUAAAGUAAAGUAAAGUAAAGUAAAGUAAAGUAAAGUAAAGUAAAGUAAAGUAAAGUAAAGUAAAGUAAAGUAAAGUAAAAUAAAGUAAAGUAAAACUAGGUCUAAUAAACCACAUUACUCAAAACACCUGCAUGGAUAUGGAGUUAUGCUGACUGACUUUUUAUUCAAUAUGUAAUUUAGUUUAAUUGCUCAUCACAAAAAAAAAAUUGUAUAAAGUCUUAAAUAAGUCAAAAGGGGACGUAUUAUAGUUCUUGUCCUGUAUUGCCCGCUAGGUGGCGAUAUACGCAUAUUUGCUGGUGAACCGCCACUACGACCGUAACAGAACAGAAAAAACACGAAGAAGAAGUGGUGGCGCAACACAGUUUAGCUAACGUUAAGAGCGACGGGCGCAGUUCGCGACAGCCGCUCCCAGCCUGAAUAACGCUACGACUCCACUUAGUGCUCGUCCUGCCUUUCUUAUGACAUCCUCUCAAAGCGGCCGACGCAGCGCAGCAUGUUCGAGGAUCAUGAACUUCAAGAUUCGUUGUCAUUGAGUCUCAAUGAAAACUGUGAUAAGCUGAAUUCAUCACAUUAUGAUCCAAAAAGAACACCAGUAAGUCCUGAUUAUACCUGUGACACCCCAGACAUUCAAGUAAUCAUCAAAGAAGAAGAAGAAGUGUGGACUGUGAGUGACAAUCAAGAGAGCUUCAGAUUAGGGGAACAGAAAGAGGUUACAUCUCCUACGCAAACUUGUCAUCCCCACCUCAAUGCAUGUGGGACAGAGAGCAUCAUUUUAUACGGAGACAAGAGAAACCAGAGUGUACAUUUGGUGGAGGAAUGCUCUGAGGAGUCAGCUGGUCCUGGGCUCCAUGGGCAGAACUCCUCUGACAGUGAGGGCCAGCCAGGACACGUCCGCCUUUACUCUGAUGACAAACAAAAGAUUUCCUCUAUAUGUGAGAAGGCAAAAGGAAAUGUGCACGAGUGUAGUGACACAGGGAAGAAAGCUACAUCUUCCUUGAAGACAGAAGCGGAACUACACGAGACCAAACAUUUGGCACCUUGCCAGUCAGAUUGUGCUAAACAAAAGCCCCUGAUCUCACAAGGAUUGAAGAUGACAUCACCAAACCUAGAGGACCAAACGCUACAUUUAACUGUCAGGCUGCAAGCAGGAGAGGAGGAUGAGGAGGAACAAGAUGAAGAAAUCGGUGGAUUAAUAAACUCUGAUGGGGAAGUUGUUGAGUGGGAUGUUAGAGACAGUCCUGACCAAGGUUCUGAGUGUGCAGAGGUUCUCCAGCCUAGCAAGCUUCAAGGCCAAAUCCAGAGAGACAGCAGUAGUCCAACUCUCAUCAUGGAAGUGUCUGUGGGGGAAGAUGAAGAAAGGGAAGAAGGGGAGGAAAAAGAGAGAGUAGUAAAGAUGACGACUGUUCCACGCUUAUACCGUGGAAAGAGACACAGAAGAAAGAACAAGGCCCCAGAAGUAGCAGUGGUGUCACUGGAUGUGUCAGACGUGCAGAAAGUAGUUCCUACAAAUCCCUUAAAGAUAAGGUGCAGAAGACGGAUUUCUAAAACUACGCUGUUGUCUGAUCAAGCUUUGGAGGAAGAACAUGGAUUAUCAAGGCGUUCAAGAAGAAGGAGAAAUGUAGCAACUGAAGUGAAAUCAGAGGAGCCAAAUGCAAAAGUCGUUUGCCGUGUGGCUGGAAAGCGAGCUUACAGAAGAAGGAAAGAUAUUAAAUCCACUUCUGAAGGAGAGAGCACAGAUGUUACAGCAGGUGAGCAGAAGAACUGA